rnacentral:lncRNA from 1 species
UGCAAACUGAGGACAUCAUAGGUAAUGGAGUUGCAUGGAGUUGGAGCUGUGCUGGCUCUCCCAGCUGCUCGUUUUCUUUUGUUUUCAAUACAAGAAAGCUCACACAUGGUGCAGUGCAUCUGAGAUGCACAGUUUUGGAAAGGAAAGUGCAAUUGUUUGAUACUUUCUCAUCCUUAAUUCUUGAUUCUUCUUUGCCCACGUUGCGUCUCUCCCUAUUUCUUUUUCACACUCCAAGCCCCCCUGAGCAGCUGAGAACACUACCAAUGGGCCUUACAGCUCCUUAUUCUAUUUUCCUCCCUCCCAAACCCUUCUCAGUUGGUUCCACUGAAGGAUCCAGCUCCAGCUCUCAGGGCUCCUUCAUCCCUUAUGGACCCCAGGCCACCAGUGACUGCCUCCCCCAUCCCAGCCCCCAAUUAAUGAACUUCUUUGGGGAUCCAAGUCCCAAAUUCCAGUUGUUUAUUUUUCCAUACAAGCUCCAGAGAAGGAUGGUUGUUGCUGGUCAACGCCUCCCACCCAGGCCAGGGUCCUAAUGCAGACCUGGACCCAUUCAUUGCCAUCUUACCCUUGGGGAACAGAGGACAACCAAUUGGCUGAGAUCCAAUCCAUGUCCCUUGGUGGCACAGCUGCUGAAUUUCAGGGCUGCAGUCUCUCUCAGGAGCCUCUCUCUCUAUGCUUCCCCCCAGUCACGGAACAGCGGGCAGCAGGGGGAUGUGGAUGGAGCCCGACGCCUGGGCCGCAUGGCCCGCCUGCUCAGCAUCGUCUCCAUCGUGCUGGGGACCAUCAUCAUCGUGCUCUACGUCUCGCUCAGCGUCCGAGCUUCCUAGAAGACGUAGCAUGCAAAUACCUCGAAGAGGAGGAAGACAGCGCUCCUUUUGGGGUUUUUUUACUUUCAGCCUUGCAACAAAAACUUGUGACAGCGGAGCCCAUCUGGAGGAAUGUGCGUGGCUGCUCCACUGCCUUCUGGGGACAAGAGGGGAUGGGCACACGGCAAGGGGAUGAGGGACAAGAACUGGAUGUGAGCAGAGAGGAGAAGGGGAAAUCCACUACCUCAUUCCCCUCCAACAGGGCGGGGAGACCACGCAGGAGGAUGGACAGAAGGAGGAGGAGGGAGAUUCCAGACCGAAGCUUAUUUGAAGAAAAAUCUAAGGGCGGACCGCGGCAUUUUGAGGAAUCCUCCUAAGGACUUUGGCACUGUCGUUUUGGGGGAUUUGUUGGUUUUUAAAUCAUCGAAUUCUGUCUCUGCAAAAACAAACAAACAAACAAAAAAAAAAACACCCAAAAGCUCAAACUGCCACCGGGAACGGAGCGGUGUUCCAUGCAUGAGGAGGGCGAGCUGCAGAGCGCGGCGGUGCUUGGAGAUGCGGUGGGUGCUUUUGUAUUUUUGAUGAAAAAAAAAAAAAAAGACAAACAAAAAAGAGACAAUGACCAUUUGCAUGCCUUUGGGAAUGUUCUCCGUGUCUGCUCAUCCAUCCACGCCCCUCCAUCGCUCGCAGAUGUCAGGGCUGGCAGAGCAGGGCGCUGCUGCAUGGGAGCGCAGCGCUAACGGAAGGGAUCACGCUUUCUCUGUGCAACCACACGUUUCCUUCUCCAUGCACCCAAAGUGAGGUGAAUGCCACCGGCGCUGAGCACAGGUCCUGGUUAACCCACAGAGGCGGCACUGAGGAGCAGAGCCCUCCUACCUGCUGGGUCGUAUUCGUCACACAGGAGCUGCAGCAAGAUCCGGCCCUACGACCAUGCUCAUCUCCCCUCACCUCUUUGGGCUCCAACUGAGGGCUGCAGGGGACCUUCAGAGGGAUGGAGGAGUUCAGAAUCGUGCUCUUCUCAUUACCCCUCUUCUGCAUCUCGGACACCUCCAGCACCACUGGAGCGUGCUGGGCUCGGGUCCAUGAGUAUUAUUAUUUUUUAACAUUUUGUAUUUAACAACAUGUAAAGAAUGCUGACUUUUUGCUCCCCAUGAUUGUCCCAAGCCCCGCUGCUCCUAGCCAAGUCUUCCACGCCAUGCAGCCCCAUCCGACCUCCUUGUUCCCACUGUGGGCUGAUGCUGGUGUUGGCAUUUCAUUUGGCCAUGCAGAUUGAGCAAAGUUCCCAUUGCUGUACGUUUGCAGAUGGCUCCUGGCUGUGCCCAUUGGCUUUGCGUUGGCCAAGCCUUCCUUUUAGCAAAACUUUGCUGGCACAAUUCC